CCAUUAACCAUUUUUAUCCAUGCUCGGACUACAUUUUUCAAAGGCCAAGCAUGGAUAUAAAAGCGGUUCAGGUAGACAGAAUUGAGCAUAUAAUGUAAACAGGCCUUAAUUAGUGACAUUUUCAGUGAAGCAGUGAGGUAUAAAUUCAGUGUUUUUAUUUAUCUGGAUACCUAAGUAUUCAUAGACUAGACCCAGACUCUCUUUCUGAUGUUAAACUGUUAGUAGGGAUGUGCCAGAUACUGCUUUGCC